AUACCUUUCUCGGCCUUUUGGCUAAGAUCAAGUGUAGUAUCUGUUCUUAUCAGUUUAAUAUCUGAUACGUGGACCAAUGGUUCACACGAUAUUAAAUUAAUUUUUCUGGGAGGAAGGGGUCCAACACAGUAGCUUGCUACUGGGAUCUUCGCGUGUCGCCCUAGUGUUGCACUACUGCUAGGGCUGGCGCACUCCAC